AAUUGCAGGAACCUCUGAUUCUGAUACCUCAGUGAAAGAGAUAACUGUUAAUCCGGUACUUGAUAACCCUCGAGGGGUCUACGAGGUGCGUAUUGAGUCAGCAUGGCUAGUCUUGUCGAAAAGAGUAUGCAAUUUACCUAAGCAAAAAGUUUAUCGACUGUGAAACAAUACACUCACUGUUCGAAAAAACUUGAUGUACUUUGGCAUAGGCUGCUCGCCGACUGAGACAGUGUAUGCUGAUUCAUA
rnacentral:lncRNA from 1 species